UUCACAUUGCAAUAAAAUUACUGCAUCAUUUAGAUUCUUUAUUUGUCCCUUUGCAUUCUUUCUACAACACGUUAUCAACGCAUAGGCUCUACCAAGAGAGCAAAUUGACGACAGAAAAAAAGAUCUGUCGCGUGUAUGCGCUAAGACGCUCGACCACUACGCCGCUCAAUCCAGCGCGGCAGCACAACGCCACUCAAUCGGCCGAUCACAGUGGCAACAAAAUCACGUGAUGGCACGAUUGCGCAGGGACAUGCAGCAACAGCGCCUCGGAGCAUGCAUGAGAUUAAUCAAUUUUGGUUGUCUUCUUGCGAUUAAAAGAUACUGAGUAAGAAGAUCUGAUCCAUUGUGUUUUCUUACGAGAAUUUCUUCAUCUCUUCAUCGAUUCAAUCACGAAGAGGCCGACUGCAUGGAAACAGCAAUGCCAUUGGGGCCGAUGGCUGCCGAUGCCUGGACGAGGAGCCGGAUCAUCGAACUAGGGAUGUGUUCCUUCAACAAAGGCGACGAAUCAGUUCCUAUUCGUCCACAACAAAAGGAUCAGCAUGCAUGCAUCCGCACGGGAUCCGCAUACAUGCAUCCGCACGGGAGAAAACAAUCAGGAGAACACUUAUUUGAUUUCCUUUCUCUGGUCAUACAAGGAUUUAUCCACUCACAUGCAUCCGUAUAAUAAAUUGAUUAGAAGAAAGUAGCCCAUACAAUUAAGAUCUACUAAUCACUAUUGUGCAAUUUCUAUUCAUCUGUGAUGUAUGUACUCAUAGCUUGGAUCGAGCGUGUGCUAGUUCAAGAAAAAAAAGGGGAAGAUCUUCACCUAAGCGACCUGGUACGGAGCAGUCAAGAGCAGCGGACUACUUAAUACUCGUACACGGCAACAUAGAUGGAUUCGCAUCCUCCGGUCAUGAGCCUCGGUCCCGUCACAGUGCAAUAGCGUCUGCAUCCCGACACAACCGCGCCAAGACAAAAGACCAUGUGUGAGGUUAGUUCUGCAAGGCAACGCGCUCCGACGCAAAAGUGGGCGCUCAUAGCCGCGGCCUCUCGGCGGUGUGGAAUGGCCGGUACCCCGUCGAGCGGUGCCCUUCAGCCAGAUGGCCUCAAUCUCUAGGCUACUCGCGGCGAUUAAGAGGAAAUUCCUCUCAUGAAUUUGUAACCGCACG
rnacentral:lncRNA from 1 species